AUUGCUUUUUGGCCUUUUGGCUAAAAAUCAAUGCAGCAUCUAUUUUUAUCAGCUUAAUAUCUAAUAUGUCUUCUAUCCAAGAACAAUAUUUUAAAUGGAUUUUUUUGAGCAGGGAGAUGGAAUAAGAGUUUGCCCCACCCAUUCCACACAUCAGCCUGGUAUUGCAGUAACUCCAGAAAUGGUUCACCGUGC
ensembl:snRNA U2 U2 spliceosomal RNA